UGAAUAUUUCUGUUUUCAUGGUGAAACUGUUGAUGAGGAAUAGGUAGUAGUGUAUUGAUCAUUUUUCCUUUGAAUGUUUCUCUGUGAUUUCCUCCAGGUGGCACCACUUCAUCCACGACAUCGUCCACGAUCGCAGAGACAUGGUCCACGAUCGCAGAGACCUUGUCAAAGAUGAGAGAGACGUUGUCCAUGAUCUGAGACAUUGUCCCAUGCUUCGUAGAGACCUUGCGAUAGAAUCGGCGGAGACGGGGGUCACCGAUUUGACGGCAUUGCCCGCGAUCAUGGAGACAUUGUUGAUGGUCACAGAGACAGCGUCUAUGAUCUCAGAGACAUCGUCCACGAUCGCAAAGACGUUGGCCACGAUCACAGAGACUUUGUCCAUAAUCUCAGAGACAUUGUCCUCGAUCACAGGGACGUAGUCCACGAUCACAGAGUCUUCGCACAAUGAAGUUCUUUGAGACCAGGACAGAGGCCUCCAGGUGUCACCACUUCGUCCACGACAUCGUCCACGAUCGCAGACACAUGGUCCAUGAUCGGAGAGACAUUGUUGAGGAUGAGGGAGACAUCGUCCUCGAUCAGAGACAUUGUCCACGAUCGCAGAGACCUUGUCAAAGAUGAGAGAGAUGUUGUCCAUGAUCUGAGACAUUGUCCCAUGCUUCGUAGAGACCUUGCGAUAGAAUCGGCGGAGACGGGGGUCACCGAUUUGACGGCACUGCCCGCGAUCAUGGAGACAUUGUUGAUGGUCACAGAGACAGCGUCUAUGAUCUCAGAGACAUCGUCCACGAUCGCAAAGACAUUGGCCACGAUCACAGAGACUUUGUCCAUAAUCUCAGAGACAUUGUCCGCGAUCACAGGGACGUAGUCCACGAUCACAGAGUCUUCGCACAAUGAAGUUCUUUGAGACCAGGACAGAGGCCUCCAGGUGUCACCACUUCGUCCACGACAUCGUCCACGAUCGCAGACACAUGGUCCAUGAUCGGAGAGACAUUGUUGAGGAUGAGGGAGACAUCGUCCUCGAUCAGAGACAUUGUCCACGAUCGCAGAGACCUUGUCAAAGAUGAGAGAGACGUUGUCCAUGAUCUGAGACAUUGUCCCAUGCUUCGUAGAGACCUUGCGAUAGAAUCGGCGGAGACGGGGGUCACCGAUUUGACGGCACUGCCCGCGAUCAUGGAGACAUUGUUGAUGGUCACAGAGACAGCGUCUAUGAUCUCAGAGACAUCGUCCACGAUCGCAAAGACAUUGGCCACGAUCACAGAGACUUUGUCCAUAAUCUCAGAGACAUUGUCCGCGAUCACAGGGACGUAGUCCACGAUCACAGAGUCUUCGCACAGUGAAGUUCUUUGAGACCAGGACAGAGGCCUCCAGGUGUCACCGCUUUGUCCACGAUCGCAGAGACGUAGUCCACGAUCACAGAGUGUCUUUGCACAAUGAAGAUGUUCUUUGCAACCAGGACAGAGGCCUCCAGGUGUCACCACUUCGUCUGCAAUCACAGAGACAUGGUCCAUGAUUGGAGAGACAUUGUUGAGGAUGGGGGAGACAUUGUCCAUGAUUGCCGAGACGUGCAACAAUUGCAGUGACAGAGUUCCUCAUACAAUGAAGGAAUUCAGGACUGAGGCCUCCAGAUGAAUCCACAGAAACAACAGGAUCCACCAAAAUGGUGAUGGUAAGAAAAUAUUUUUAUUUGAUAUAUUUGUUUAGAAACAGAUCAAUAAUAUAUUUCUGAAACUUCACAUCAACAAACAAUUUAUUCAGUUAUUAAAAUAUGAUUAGGAAAUACAGACACUUGAACUGUCUCUCAAAUGUCACUGAAAUAAACAAAAACAAUGUAACAGAAGUAAUUUGUAACAAUGUAAUCUGCCAUAUAAAAAUUUGGUAUAAGGUAUUAACAAUGUGUCUUAUCAGGUGUAAUGUAAUUUAAAAGUCAUUUGUAAUAACAGAAAAAAGAUGAAACAAUCAAAUGUAUCUUUAGUAUAAAAGUAAUUUCCAUUAAUAAGGGUCUAUCUGUAAAUUUAGAAGUAGUUUAGGUGUCACAAACGGUCAAAAAAUGUUGUAGUAUAGUAUGCCGUUAAAAGUGAUCAAAAAUGUUCAAAAAAUGUCAUAGUAUUGCAAGGCGUUAAAAAUGAUCAAAAACCAUCAAAAACCGUCAAAAAAUGUCACAGCAUAGUAAGGUGUCAAAAAUGCCAUAGUAAAGGAAGGCAUGAAAAAUGGUCAAACAUUAUCAAAACCGUCAAAAAAUGUCACAGCAUAGUAUUGCAAGGCAUGAAAAGUGAUCAAAAAAUAUCUCAGUAUAGUAAGGCAUGAUAAAUGGUCAAAAAAUGUCACAGUAUAGUAAGGUGUCCAAAACCAUCAAAAAAUGCCAUAGUAAAGAAAGGCAUGAAAAAUGUUCAAAAAAAAAAAAUGUCAUAGUAUUGCAAGGCAUGAAAAGUGAUCAAAAAAUGUCAUAGUAUAGUAAGGUGUCAAAAAUGCCAUAGUAAAGGAAGGCAUGAAAAAUGGUCAAAAAAUGUCAUAGUAUAGUAUGGGGUCAAAAACCAUGAAAAAAUGUCAUAGUAUAGUAAGGUGUCAAAAAUGGUCCAAAAAUGUCAUAGUAUAGUAAGGUAUGAAAAUUGGUCAAAAAAUGUCAUAGUAUAGUAAGGUGUCAAAAAUGGUCAAAAAAUGUCAUAGGAUAGUAAGGUAUGAAAAUUGGUCAAAAAAUGUCAUAGUAUAGUAUGGGGUCAAAAACCAUGAAAAAAUGUCAUAGUAUAGUAAGGUAUGAAAAUUGGUCAAAAAAUGUCAUAGUAUAGUAAGGUGUCAAAAAUGGUCAAAAUUGUCAUAGUAUAGUAAGGUAUGAAAAUUGGUCAAAAAAUGUCAUAGUAUAGUAAGGUGUCAAAAAUGGUCAAAAAAUGUCAUAGUAUAGUAUGGGGUCAAAAACCAUGAAAAAAUGUCAUAGUAUAGUAAGGUGUCAAAAAUGGUCAAAAAAUGUCAUAGUAUAGUAAGGUGUCAAAAAUGGUCAAAAAAUGUCAUAGUAUAGUAGGGGGUCAAAAACCAUGAAAAAAUGUCAUAGUAUAGUAAGGUAUGAAAAUUGGUCAAAAAAUGUCAUAGUAUAGUAAGGUGUCAAAAAUGGUCAAAAAAUGUCAUAGUAUAGUAAGGUGUCAAAAAUGGUCAAAAAAUGUCAUAGUAUAGUAGGGGGUCAAAAACCAUGAAAAAAUGUCAUAGUAUAGUAAGGUGUCAAAAAUGGUCAAAAAAUGUCAUAGUAUAGUAAGGUGUCAAAAAUGGUCAAAAAAUGUCAUAGUAUAGUAGGGGGUCAAAAACCAUGAAAAAAUGUCAUAGUAUAGUAAGGUAUGAAAAUUGGUCAAAAAAUGUCAUAGUAUAGUAAGGUGUCAAAAAUGGUCAAAAAAUGUCAUAGUAUAGUAAGGUAUGAAAAUUGGUCAAAAAAUGUCAUAGUAUAGUAAGGUGUCAAAAAUGUUCAAAAAAUGUCAUAGUAUAGUAAGGUGUCAAAAAUGCCAUAGUAUACCGUCAAAAAUGCCAUAGUAUAGUAUGCCGUUAAAAGUAAUCAAAAAUGUUCAAGAAAAAUGGUCAAAAAAUGUCAUAGUAUACCGUCAAAAAAUGUCAUAGUAUAGUAAGGUGUUCAAAACCAUCAAAAAAUGUCAUAGGAUAGUAAGGUGUCAAAAAUGCCAUAGUAAAGGAAGGCAUGAAAAAUGGUCAAAAAAUGUCAUAGUAUAGUAAGGUGUCAAAAAUGCCAUAGUAAAGGAAGGCAUGAAAAAUGGUCAAACAUUAUCAAAACCGUCAAAAAAUGUCACAGCAUAGUAUUGCAAGGCAUGAAAAGUGAUCAAAAAAUAUCUCAGUAUAGUAAGGCAUGAAAAGUAAUC